rnacentral:tRNA from 1 species
GAGGGUAUAGUUCAGUGGUAGAGUGUGUGCUUAGCAUGCACAAGGUCCUGGGUUCAAUCGCCAGUACCUCCA